rnacentral:rRNA from 1 species
GACGAACGCUGGCGGCAUGCCUAAUACAUGCAAGUUGAGCGCUGAAGGUUGGUACUUGUACCAACUGGAUGAGCAGCGAACGGGUGAGUAACGCGUGGGGAAUCUGCCUUUGAGCGGGGGACAACAAUUGGAAACGAAUGCUAAUACCGCAUAAAAACUUUAAACACAAGUUUUAAGUUUGAAAGAUGCAAUUGCAUCACUCAAAGAUGAUCCCGCGUUGUAUUAGCUAGUUGGUGAGGUAAAGGCCCACCAAGGCGAUGAUACAUAGCCGACCUGAGAGGGUGAUCGGCCACACUGGGACUGAGAAACGGCCCAAAAUCCCACGGGAGGCAGCAAUAGGGGAUCUUCGGCCAUGGACGAAAGGCUGGCCGAACAACGCCGCGUGAGUGAAGAAGGGUUUCGGAUCGUAAAAAUCUGUUGGUAGAGAAGAAAGUUGGUGAGAGUGGAAAGCUCAUCAAGUGACGGUAACUACCCAGAAAGCGACGGCUAACUACGUG